rnacentral:lncRNA from 1 species
GCGUUGUCGUGCUGUCUCAUCCCUCACGGGUGGUUGCCGGGCGAAAGCCCAGUCUUGGCUCCUUUGAGCCCCGACGGACGGCGGCGGCGGUUUUCCGUUGUUUCUCUUCUUGAAGACGUCGUUUUGGCAUCCCUUAGCCGAAGCCUCUCGAUCGCGGUCGGUCCGAUGUUAGCCUUCUCCCGAUUAUAUGUCUUGGCGCUGUUGGUGUGUGGGUGGCAGUAUAAUUUUUUUCUUUUUCCUGGUUACGACCCUCCAGGGUUGUAA